CGGUGCCAGCAGCCGCGGUAAUUCCAGCUCAAUAGCGUAUAUUAAAGUUGUUGCAGUUAAAAAGCUCGUAGUUGAAUUUCGGGGUCAGUAGAUUGGUCAUGCCUCCGGUAUGCACUGGUCUUACUGGCUCCUCCUUCCUGAUGAACCGUAAUGCCAUUAAUUUGGUGUUGCGGGAGACUGGACUGUUACUUUGAAAAAUUAGAGUGUUUAAAGCAGGCUAACGCUUGAAUACAUUAGCAUGGAAUAAUGAAAUAGGACGUUCGAUCUUAUUUUGUUGGUUUCUAAGAUUGACGUAAUGAUUAAUAGGGAUAGUUGGGGGCAUUAGUAUUCAAUUGUCAGAGGUGAAAUUCUUGGAUUUAUUGAAGACUAACUACUGCGAAAGCAUUUGCCAAGGAUGUUUUCAUUAAUCAAGAACGAAAGUUAGGGGAUCGAAGACGAUCAGAUACCGUCGUAGUCUUAACCAUAAACUAUGCCGACUAGGGAUCGGAUGAUGUUAAUUUUUAAUGACUCAUUCGGCGCCUUACG
rnacentral:rRNA from 1 species